rnacentral:lncRNA from 1 species
CAAAUGGAAUCAUGCCACUCCACUGCUUAAAGCCCUUUCAUCCUUUACAUUCUACUUAGCAUGUGAUCCCACAUCUUAAAUCUGCACCCCCCUCCACCUCUUCUCUCACAGCCCCUCAGUCCUUGGCACUAGCCACAUCAGCCUUCCUCCCAUUUCUGCUACAUGUUAUGCCCCUGCUUGCCCAGGGCCCCCACACAUGCUGGUCCCUCCUGACAAAAACAAACAAUGGGGAAAGGAUUCCCCAUUUAAUAAAUGGUGCUGGGAAAACUGGUUAGCUAUAUGUAGAAAGCUGAAACUGGAUCCCUUCCUUACACCUUAAACAAAAAUUAAUCAAGAUGGAUUAAAGACUUACAUGUUAGACCUAAAACCGUAAAAACCCUAGAAGAAAACCUAGGCAGUACCAUUCAGGACAUAGGCAUGGGCAAGGACUUCAUGUCUAAAACACCAAAAGCAGUGGCAAAAAAAAGCCAAAAUUUACAAAUGGGAUCUAAUUAAGAGCUUCUGCACAGCAAAAUAAACUACCAUCAGAGUGAACAGGCAACCUACUGAAUGGGAGAAAAUUUUUGCAAUCUACCUAUCUGACAAAGGGCUAAUAUCCAGAAUCUACAAAGAACUUCAACAAAUUUACAAGAAAAAAAUCAAACAACCCAUUCAAAAAGUGGGCAAAGGAUAUGAACAGACACUUC